AGACUUAGGAUAGCUAGACCAAAGGCCUUCAAAGCCUUAAGCACAAGUUUAAACCUUCUAUCUCUUG
rnacentral:tRNA from 1 species